AACGAACGCUGGCGGCAGGCUUAACACAUGCAAGUCGAGCGCCCCGCAAGGGGAGCGGCAGCCGGGUGAGUAACGCGUGGGAAUCUACCCAUCUCUACGGAAUAACGCAUGGAAACGUGUGCUAAUACCGUAUACGUCCUUCGGGAGGAAGAUUUAUCGGAGAUGGAUGAGCCCGCGUUGGAUUAGCUAGUUGGUGGGGUAAAGGCCUACAAAGGCGACGAUCCAUAGCUGGUCUGAGAGGAUGAUCAGCCACACUGGGACUGGGACACGGCCCAGACUCCUACGGGAGGCAGCCGUGGGGAAUAUUGGACAAUGGGCGCAAGCCUGAUCCAGCCAUGCCGCGUGAGUGAUGAAGGCCCUAGGGUUGUAAAGCUCUUUCACCGGUGAAGAUAAUGACGGUAACCGGAGAAGAAGCCCCGGCUAACUUCGUGCCAGCUGCCGCCGUAACAC
rnacentral:rRNA from 1 species